rnacentral:lncRNA from 10 species
AUAGGAGAGAUGAGCUUCCUACAGCACAACAAAUGUGAAUGCAGACCAAAGAAAGAUAGAGCAAGACAAGAAAAGUAAGUGGCCCUGACUUUAGCACUUCUCCCUCUCCAUGGCCGGUUGUCUUGGUUUGGGGCUCUUGGCUACCUCUGUUGGGGGCUCCCAUAGCCUCCCUGGGUCAGGGACUUGGUCUUGUGGGGGACUUGUGGUGGCAGCAACAAUGGGAUGGAGCCAACUCCAGGAUGAUGGCUCUAGGGCUAGUGAGAAAACAUAGCCAGGAGCCUGGCACUUCCUUUGGAAGGGACAAUGCCUUCUGGGUCUCCAGAUCAUUCCUGACCAGGACUUGCUGUUUCGGUGUGUCAGGGGGCACUGUGGACACUGGCUCACUGGCUUGCUCUAGGACACCCACAGUGGGGAGAGGGAGUGGGUGGCAGAGAGGCCAGCUUUUGUGUGUCAGAGGAAAUGGCCUCUUUUGGUGGCUGCUGUGACGGUGCAGUUGGAUGCGAGGCCGGCUGGAGGGUGGUUUCUCAGUGCAUGCCCUCCUGUAGGCGGCAGGCGGCAGACACACAGCCCUCUUGGCCAGGGAGAAAAAGUUGAAUGUUGGUCAUUUUCAGAGGCUUGUGAGUGCUCCGUGUUAAGGGGCAGGUAGGAUGGGGUGGGGGACAAGGCGAGGCAGCUUGAGUUAAACGAACGUACUUGCAGAUGUGACAAGCCGAGGCGGUGAGCCGGGCAGGAGGAAGGAGCCUCCCUCAGGGUUUCGGGAACCAGAUCUCUCACCAGGAAAGACUGAUACAGAACGAUCGAUACAGAAACCACGCUGCCGCCACCACACCAUCACCAUCGACAGAACAGUCCUUAAUCCAGAAACCUGAAAUGAAGGAAGAGGAGACUCUGCGCAGAGCACUUUGGGUCCGGAGGGCGAGACUCCGGCGGAAGCAUUCCCGGGCGGGUGACCCAGCACGGUCCCUCUUGGAAUUGGAUUCGCCAUUUUAUUUUUCUUGCUGCUAAAUCACCGAGCCCGGAAGAUUAGAGAGUUUUAUUUCUGGGAUUCCUGUAGACACACCCACCCACAUACAUACAUUUAUAUAUAUAUAUAUUAUAUAUAUAUAAAAAUAAAUAUCUCUAUUUUAUAUAUAUAAAAUAUAUAUAUUCUUUUUUUAAAUUAACAGUGCUAAUGUUAUUGGUGUCUUCACUGGAUGUAUUUGACUGCUGUGGACUUGAGUUGGGAGGGGAAUGUUCCCACUCAGAUCCUGACAGGGAAGAGGAGGAGAUGAGAGACUCUGGCAUGAUCUUUUUUUUGUCCCACUUGGUGGGGCCAGGGUCCUCUCCCCUGCCCAGGAAUGUGCAAGGCCAGGGCAUGGGGGCAAAUAUGACCCAGUUUUGGGAACACCGACAAACCCAGCCCUGGCGCUGAGCCUCUCUACCCCAGGUCAGACGGACAGAAAGACAGAUCACAGGUACAGGGAUGAGGACACCGGCUCUGACCAGGAGUUUGGGGAGCUUCAGGACAUUGCUGUGCUUUGGGGAUUCCCUCCACAUGCUGCACGCGCAUCUCGCCCCCAGGGGCACUGCCUGGAAGAUUCAGGAGCCUGGGCGGCCUUCGCUUACUCUCACCUGCUUCUGAGUUGCCCAGGAGACCACUGGCAGAUGUCCCGGCGAAGAGAAGAGACACAUUGUUGGAAGAAGCAGCCCAUGACAGCUCCCCUUCCUGGGACUCGCCCUCAUCCUCUUCCUGCUCCCCUUCCUGGGGUGCAGCCUAAAAGGACCUAUGUCCUCACACCAUUGAAACCACUAGUUCUG